AAUUCUCAAUCACUACAAUCUUGUGUUGUUUAGUGGAUUGGAGGUGGGGGUUUUGUGCGGGUUUAUUCGAUAGAUCUGCUCCCCUUAAAAUCAUUAGCUGGAAUGCCUUUGCAAAACCAACUAUCAGUAUGAUAACUAUCUACUCUGGUGUUGUUGUAAAAGGGGAUCUGCUUUCAAACUGUCUUUCAGACACUAUGAAUCA
rnacentral:misc_RNA from 1 species